GCCUGGCUAGCUCAAUUGGCUAGAGCGUGGGACUUUUACAUAGCUGACAUGUCAAUAGACUUGAUCAGAUCUUGGGAUCCCAAGGUUGCGGGUUCGACCCCCGCGCGAGGCG